rnacentral:rRNA from 1 species
AGCUAUAUGAAUUAAUGUAUAGUUAUUUCUGCUCCAUGAUUAUUAAAUAGCCGCAGUACUCUGACUGUGCAAAGGUAGCAUAAUCAGUUGGCUCUUAAUUAGAGUCUGGUAUGAAUGAAAAUAUGGGUGGUAGCUGUCUUAGUGUAUUUAUAUGAAUUUAUUAAACGAGUGCAAAGACUUGUAAUUUAAUAAUAGACGAGAAGACCCUAGAAACUUGGUAUAGUUUUUGUUGGGGCGACAUGGUUACACUUAACUAACUUUAUAUGACAUGACAUAAUAUUGGUAGAGUAAGUUACUCUAGGGAUAACAGCAUAAUUUAAAUAGUUUGUGACCUCGAUGUUGGACUAGGUAUUGUACCCCUUAGACAGGGGUAUUAAGCGCUCUGUUCGAGCAAUAUAUACCUACAU